rnacentral:rRNA from 1 species
UGGGGAAUCUUCCGCAAUGGACGAAAGUCUGACGGAGCAACGCCGCGUGAGUGAAGAAGGUUUUCGGAUCGUAAAACUCUGUCUUUUGGGGCGAACGUGAGUAUGGUGAACAAUCAUAGUCAGUGACGGUACCAAAGGAGGAAGCCACGGCUAACUACGUGCCAGCAGCCGCGGUAAUACGUAGGUGGCAAGCGUUGUCCGGAAUUAUUGGGCGUAAAGAGCGCGUAGGCGGGAUAGUCAGUCUGUUGUAAAGUGCGGGCUCAACCCGUGAUCGCAAUGGAAACAGCUAUUCUUGAGUGCAGGAGAGGAAAGUGGAAUUCCCAGUGUAGCGGUGAAAUGCGUAGAUAUUGGGAGGAACACCAGUGGCGAAGGCGACUUUCUGGACUGUGUCUGACGCUGAGGCGCGAAAGCCAGGGGAGCGAACGGGAUUAGAUACCCCGGUAGUCCUGGCCGUAAACGAUGGACUAGGUGUGGGAGGUAUCGACCCCUUCCGUGCCGGAGUUAACGCAAUAAGUACCCGCCUGGGGAGUACGGUCGC